rnacentral:rRNA from 1 species
UACAGAGGUCCCAAGCGUUGUUCGGAUUCAUUGGGCGUAAAGGGUGCGUAGGCGGCGCGGUAAGUCGGGUGUGAAAUCUCGGAGCUUAACUCCGAAACUGCAUUCGAUACUGCCGUGCUUGAGGACUGGAGAGGGUCGUGGAAUUCCCGGUGUAGCGGUGAAAUGCGUAGAGAUCGGGAGGAACACCAGAGGCGAAAGCGGCGACCUGGACAAUGACUGACACUCAACUGCGAAAGCGUGGGGAGCAAACAGG